ACCCUCUGGUUCCCUUUCCCAUUGGAUCUCAACACUGGUCUUGGUGGUUGUAAAGGAGGGAAAGCAUGUUGAAGCUGGCCUCAUAGCCUUAUAGUCUGGUAUAAGCAUGUGGGCUAGAUUCAAACAAGG
rnacentral:snoRNA from 1 species